UGGCGGCAGGCUUAACACAUGCAAGUCGAACGCCCCGCAAGGGGAGUGGCAGACGGGUGAGUAACGCGUGGGAACGUGCCCUUCGCUUCGGAAUAGUCCCGGGAAACUGGGUUUACUACCGAAUACGCCGUAUUGGGAAAGAUUUAUCGGCGAAGGAUCGGCCCGCGUUAGAUUAGGUAGUUGGCGGUGUAAUGGACCACCAAGCCUACGAUCUAUAGCUGGUCUGAGAGGAUGAUCAGCCACACUGGGACUGAGACACGGCCCAGACUCCUACGGGAGGCAGCAGUGGGGAAUCUUGGACAAUGGGCGCAAGUCUGAUCCAGCCAUGUCGCGUGAGUGAAGAAGGCCUUAGGGUUGUAAAACUCUUUCGCCGGAGAAGAUAAUGACGGUAUCCGGAGAAGAAGCCCCGGCUAACUUCGUGCCAGCAGCCGCGGUAAUACAAAGGGGGCUAGCGUUGUUCGGAAUUACUGGGCGUAAAGCGCACGUAGGCGGGUCUGUAAGUAGAGGGUGAAAUCCCAGGGCUCAACCCUGGAACUGCCUUCUAGACUGCAGGCCUCGAGGUCAGGAGAGGCGAGUGGAAUACCGAGUGUAGAGGUGAAAUUCGUAGAUAUUCGGUGGAACACCAGUGGCGAAGGCGACUCGCUGGACUGAUACUGACGCUGAGGUGCGAAA
rnacentral:rRNA from 1 species